GACGGAGGAUGCAAGCGUUAUCCGGAAUUAUUGGGCGUAAAGCGUGCGUAGGCGGUUAUUCAAGUCAGAGGUGAAAGCCCGGGGCUCAACCCCGGAACGGCCUUUGAAACUAGAUAACUAGAAUCUUGGAGAGGUCAGUGGAAUUCCGAGUGUAGAGGUGAAAUUCGUAGAUAUUCGGAAGAACACCAGUGGCGAAGGCGACUGACUGGACAAGUAUUGACGCUGAGGUACGAAAGCGUGGGGAGCAAACAGG
rnacentral:rRNA from 1 species